ACACCCACUGCUAAUGCAGGACCACAGAAGCGCAAGCAAGUUAAAAAGCGGCAGCAGCUGCUGCUGCUGCAGCUGCUGCAGCAAAAGCUGUUCUGCAGCAGCGGCAACAGCAGCAGCAGCAGGGACUGCUGCUGCAACUGCUGCUGCUGCUGCUGCUUAGCUUGAUGCAGCGCCUGCUGCUGCCAACCGCCGCAGCAGCAAGCGGCCCCACACCUCCCUCCCAGCUGCAGCGCAGCAAGUGCUGCUGCAGCAAAUGCCGCUGCUGCGGCAGCGCUUGCUACUGUAGCAAUUGCUGCU
rnacentral:sRNA from 1 species